rnacentral:rRNA from 1 species
AACGAACGCUGGCGGCAGGCCUAACACAUGCAAGUCGAGCGAACCCUUCGGGGUUAGCGGCGGACGGGUUAGUAACGCGUGGGAAUAUACCCUUUGGUACGGAAUAGCCUCGGGAAACUGAGAGUAAUACCGUAUGUGCCCUUCGGGGGAAAGAUUUAUCGCCAAAGGAUUAGCCCGCGUUGGAUUAGAUAGUUGGUGGGGUAAUGGCCUACCAAGUCUACGAUCCAUAGCUGGUUUGAGAGGAUGAUCAGCAACACUGGGACUGAGACACGGCCCAGACUCCUACGGGAGGCAGCAGUGGGGAAUCUUAGACAAUGGGCGCAAGCCUGAUCUAGCCAUGCCGCGUGGACGACGAAGGCCUUAGGGUUGUAAAGUCCUUUCAGAUGGGAAGAUAAUGACGGUACCAUCAGAAGAAGCCCCGGCUAACUCCGUGCCAGCAGCCGCGGUAAAGUACAGUGU